rnacentral:rRNA from 1 species
AUACGGAGGGUGCAAGCGUUACUCGGAAUCACUGGGCGUAAAGCGCGCGCAGGCGGUCUUUUAAGUUGGAUGUGAAAGCCUACGGCUCAACCGUAGAACUGCAUCCAAAACUAUUAGACUAGAGUGUGGGAGAGGAAGAUGGAAUUAGUUGUGUAGGGGUAAAAUCCGUAGAGAUAACUAGGAAUACCAAAAGCGAAGGCGAUCUUCUGGAACACUACUGACGCUGAGGCGCGAAAGCGUGGGGAGCAAACAGGAUUAGAAACCCCAGUAGUCC